AUACGGAGGAUCCAAGCGUUAUCCGGAUUUAUUGGGUUUAAAGGGUGCGCAGGCGGAAGAUUAAGUCGGCGGUGAAAUUUUGCAGCUCAACUGUGAAAGUGCCAUCGAUACUGGCUUUCUUGAGUGUGGAUGAAGUAGGCGGAAUUUGUGGGGUAGCGGUGAAAUGCAUAGAUAUCACGAGGAACUCCGAUUGCGCAGGGAGCUUACUAGGCCAUAACUGACGCUCAGGCACGAAGGCGUGGGGAUCAAACAGGAUUAGAUACCCUGGUAGUCCACGCAGUAAACGAUGAUUACUCGCUGUUUGCGAUACACAGUAAGCGGCUUAGCGAAAGCGUUAAGUAAUCCACCUGGGGAGUACGUUCGCAAGAAUGAAACUCAAAUGAAUUGACGGGG
rnacentral:rRNA from 1 species